rnacentral:rRNA from 1 species
ACGCAGCAGUGGGGAAUAUUGGGCAAUGGUCGAGAGACUGACCCAGCCAUGCCGCGUGCAGGAUGAAGGCUUUCUGAGUCGUAAACUGCUUUUACCAGGGAAGAAAAAAGGGGAUGCGUCCUCUACUGACGGUACCUGGUGAAUAAGCACCGGCUAACUCCGUGCCAGCAGCCGCGGUAAUACGGAGGGUGCAAGCGUUGUCCGGAUUUAUUGGGUUUAAAGGGUGCGUAGGCGGCUUUUUAAGUCUGGGGUGAAAGCCCGUUGCUCAACAACGGAACUGCCCUGGAAACUGGAGAGCUUGAGUACAGACGAGGGUGGCGGAAUGGAUACUGUAGCGGUGAAAUGCAUAGAUAGUAUCCAGAACCCCGAUUGCGAAGGCAGCUGCCUAGACUGUAACUGACGCUGAGGCACGAAAGCGUGGGGAGCGAACAGGAUUAGAUACCCUGGUAGUCCACGCCGUAAACGAUGGAUACUCGCUGGUGGCGACAGACUGUCACUGGCUUAGCGAAAGCGUUAAGUAUCCCACCUGGGGAGUACGCUCGCAAGAGUGAAACUCAAAAGAAUUGACGGGGGCCCGCACAAGUGGUGGAGCAUGUGGUUUAAUUCGAUGAUACGCGAGGAACCUUACCUAGGCUAGAAUGCGCGUGACCGGCUCAGAGAUGAGCCUUUCCUUCGGGACACAAAGCAAGGUGCUGCAUGGCCGUCGUCAGCUCGUGCCGUGAGGUGUUGGGUUAAGUCCCGCAACGAGCGCAACCC